rnacentral:rRNA from 1 species
GACAGAGGGUGCAAACGUUGCUCGGAAUCACUGGGCGUAAAGGGCGUGUAGGCGGAUCGGCAAGUCAGGGGUGAAAGCCCAGAGCUCAACUCUGGAAUUGCCUUUGAGACUGAGUGGCUUGAGUACGGGAGAGGUGAGUGGAAUUCCCAGUGUAGAGGUGAAAUUCGUAGAUAUUGGGAAGAACACCGGUGGCGAAGGCGGCUCACUGGCCCGUAACUGACGCUCAUGCACGACAGCGUGGGGAUCAAACAGG